AUUGAACGCUGGCGGCAGGCCUAACACAUGCAAGUCGAGCGGAUGAAGAGAGCUUGCUCUCUGAUUUAGCGGCGGACGGGUGAGUAAUGCCUAGGAAUCUGCCUGGUAGUGGGGGAUAACGUUCCGAAAGGAACGCUAAUACCGCAUACGUCCUACGGGAGAAAGCAGGGGACCUUCGGGCCUUGCGCUAUCAGAUGAGCCUAGGUCGGAUUAGCUAGUUGGUGAGGUAAUGGCUCACCAAGGCGACGAUCCGUAACUGGUCUGAGAGGAUGAUCAGUCACACUGGAACUGGGACACGGUCCAGACUCCUACGGGAGGCAGCAGUGGGGAAUAUUGGACAAUGGGCGAAAGCCUGAUCCAGCCAUGCCGCGUGUGUGAAGAAGGUCUUCGGAUUGUAAAGCACUUUAAGUUGGGAGGAAGGGCAGUAAGUUAAUACUUUGCUGUUUUGACGUUACCGACAGAAUAAGCACCGGCUAACUUCGUGCCAGCCGCCGCGGUAAUAC
rnacentral:rRNA from 1 species